rnacentral:rRNA from 1 species
UCGCUCCUACCGAUUGGGUGUUUCGGUGAACUAUCCAGAUCGCAGCAAUGUUCGGAUCCCGAUUGUUGCAGCGAAAAGUUUCGUGAACCUCAACACCUAGAGGAAGGAG